rnacentral:lncRNA from 1 species
CUUAUAGGAAGGCUAGGCUUGGUGGGUACAAGUAAGAAAGCCAAGCAGAGAGAAGCUUCCUGGUCCUUCUCCACCUUUCCCUUUCCUCCAGUCUGGACUUUGCCUUCUCCACCUCCUUGGAAGACAGGCUGCUCAUCCCAUUGUGGUGUCUCGGCUGGUGUAUGUUUUCUGCCUAGGCUUAAUGGACAGCACGAGGAGGUAGGGACUGACGUUACCCAUGUUUUACAGUGGAAGAACCUGAGGCUUAAAGAGAUCCUGAGCUUUAAAAUAGCUAGCCAAACGAAAACACCAAUGGAGACUCUUUGGAAGGGACUGUGCUCAGUCUGAGGACCCAGAGCCAAGUCACAGACAUGACCUCAAAAGCCAGUACUGUGCUCUUCCACAUGGCAUCCACUGGCCACGUGUGGUGAUUUAACAUGUGAAAUGAAGUCUCAAGGCUGAGAUGUGAUGCGAGUGUAUAAUACACACUAGAUCUCAAAAACUUAGUAGAAAUAAAAAAUGUAAAAUAUCAUAAAAAGAUUUUAAAACUACAUAAAAAGAAAAAAAAUUUCAAAAGAAAUAAAGACAACAAAACAAAAACAUAAAA